UGUUCUUUUUUUUUUUUUUUUUUAAUGCUUUUCGCUGCAGAGUUCGGCUUUAAAAAAGAAAAGUUGGUUGGAACAAGAUGCUAUUUUUGAAAUAAAUCCCACGUUCUGGAUAGACAAUUAUAUGUCUGGAAUUGUUAGCAUUACCGAUUUCUGGUUUUACCGACUUCAGAUUGCUAAACGUUUGCCACUUGUGUAUGGUUUUCCAGUCCCUUGAGUAGAGUAAGGGUGUUUGAAAGUGAAUUCCUUGUGUGUGUCCUUGUGAUGGGCAUUGAAAUUGUUCUUUCUAUACAUGUUAAGCAAUUCUAUGUGUGCUUGUGCUAUUCCAUAUAAGGCUCUGGCUUUAAUUUGUUGUUUUGCACGUUAUGUUAAAUUAUGGAGAAUUACUUGUAUGUCGAACCAAAUCAUUUACAUGGCUAAUUUAUUGGCAUUUGUAAGGCUGCAUAACUGAUGUGGAUGAUAAUCCAAUUUUUAAUCUUAAAUGAAGGCAUAAGCAAAUAAACAAACUAAGUGAUUGCUAAGGCUAAGUGAUUUCUAAGGCUUAGUCUAGUUGCAUUGUUAGACACUUAUGAGCUGCUUUUCAAAUAUUUCCAUUAUAUUUUGUAGCUGAUAAAAUGCAUCAUCGCUGUUUAUAAGAUAAAGUUCAUAUUGCCACUUGCCACUUUCCUUUUUUGCUAGAAAAAGAAAUAGUUCUGUUGGCAAUGCGUUUUGAAGCUUUCUGAUGUUUAUAUUUUAUUUUAUUUAAGUUUUUCUUUAUUGUUUAUAGAGCUGCUACAUUUAUGACAUUGAUAAUUAUAAACAAUCUUAAUUAUUGUUUGCAGGAUCUCUCGAAACUCAUUAGAGAUCUGAGUAAGAUUACACAUGUGAGUGCUCAUGCGUUUGAAAAUAGCCUUCAUCCAGAAAAUUGUGUCCCUGUCAAGCCAUUUAAGAUUGAUGAGAAAGGCGAAGAAUUUGUGGAUGCAACACUUUCGGAUCUCAUUCCGUUUCUUGAACAUGAGUGUGUUGAUUUUUAUUGCAUACAUAAAUUAGAGCCCAUUUUGUUGUCGCUGUGGAAGUUAAAUGUCUGUGAUCCAUUUUUCAUUUCUCUUUUUUAAAUUGCAUCUGAGGGGCAAAAGAAUUCUCUUGAAUAGGUGUAU
rnacentral:misc_RNA from 1 species